UACAGAGGGUGCGAGCGUUAAUCGGAAUUACUGGGCGUAAGCGUGCGCAGGCGGUUUUGUAAGCCAGAUGUGAAAUCCCCGGGCUCAACCUGGGAACUGCAUUUGGGACUGCAAGGCUUGAGUACGGCAGAGGGGGGUAGAAUUCCUGGUGUAGCAGUGAAAUGCGUAGAUAUCAGGAGGAAUACCGAUGGCGAAGGCAGCCCCCUGGGUCGAUACUGACGCUCAUGCACGAAAGCGUGGGGAGCAAACAGG
rnacentral:rRNA from 1 species